rnacentral:lncRNA from 1 species
AUUGUUAAAAAGAGGGUCUGAUUAGGUUAAUGUCUCGAAGGUCAAGCUCUCAAUCAGGCUAGGACCAACUUUCUGGUUAGCUCCUAUUGGUUCUUGCUACUUUUGUAAUCUUUCCCUUUCUAUAAUUCUUGUAGAUAUCUACUUUCUAAUAAAGCUGGAUGGUAAUUGUCUCCCUUACAUCAACAAAAAAAAAAGAAAGAAGAAGAAGAAAAAGAAAAGUGAACACAUAAUUUAAAUAUAUUGUUGGGAUGACUAGCUUGGUGUUGAAGCUAGUAGAUCUAGAAUGGCUAGAGUUUGAUCUGAUAC